rnacentral:rRNA from 1 species
AUUGAACGCUGGCGGCAUGCUUUACACAUGCAAGUCGAACGGUAACAGGUUAAGCUGACGAGUGGCGAACGGGUGAGUAAUGCAUCGGAACGUGCCCGAUCGUGGGGGAUAACGCAGCGAAAGCUGCGCUAAUACCGCAUACGAUCUGAGGAUGAAAGCGGGGGACCGUAAGGCCUCGCGCGAUCGGAGCGGCCGAUGUCAGAUUAGGUAGUUGGUGGGGUAAAGGCCCACCAAGCCGACGAUCUGUAGCUGGUCUGAGAGGACGACCAGCCACACUGGGACUGGGACACGGCCCAGACUCCUACGGGAGGGAGCAGUGGGGAAUUUUGGACAAUGGGCGAAAGCCUGAUCCAGCAAUGCCGCGUGCAGGAAGAAGGCCUUCGGGUUGUAAACUGCUUUUGUACGGAGCGAAAAGGUCCUUUCUAAUACAAGGGGCUCAUGACGGUACCGUAAGAAUAGGCACCGGCUAACUACGUGCCAGCAGCCGCCGUAA